rnacentral:rRNA from 1 species
UACGUAGGGCGCAAGCGUUAUCCGGAAUUAUUGGGCGUAAAGAGCUCGUAGGCGGUUUGUCGCGUCUGCCGUGAAAGUCCGGGGCUUAACCCCGGAUCUGCGGUGGGUACGGGCAGACUAGAGUGCAGUAGGGGAGACUGGAAUUCCUGGUGUAGCGGUGAAAUGCGCAGAUAUCAGAAGGAACACCGAUGGCGAAGGCAGGUCUCUGGGCUGUAACUGACGCUGAGGAGCGAAAGCAUGGGGAGCGAACAGG